rnacentral:rRNA from 1 species
AGAGUUUGAUCCUGGCUCAGGAUGAACGCUGGCGGCGUGCCUAACACAUGCAAGUCGAACGGAGCUGCUUUGAUGAAGUUUUCGGAUGGAUUUAAAACAGCUUAGUGGCGGACGGGUGAGUAACGCGUGGGUAACCUGCCUCACACUGGGGGAUAACAGUUAGAAAUAGCUGCUAAUACCGCAUAAGCGCACGGUUCCGCAUGGAACAGUGUGAAAAACUCCGGUGGUGUGAGAUGGACCCGCGUCUGAUUAGCCAGUUGGCGGGGUAACGGCCCACCAAAGCGACGAUCAGUAGCCGGCCUGAGAGGGUGAACGGCCACAUUGGGACUGAGACACGGCCCAAACUCCUACGGGAGGCAGCAGUGGGGAAUAUUGCACAAUGGGGGAAACCCUGAUGCAGCGACGCCGCGUGAGUGAAGAAGUAUUUCGGUAUGUAAAGCUCUAUCAGCAGGGAAGAAAGUGACGGUACCUGAAUAAGAAGCCCCGGCUAACUACGUGCCAGCAGCCGCGGUAAUACGUAGGGGGCAAGCGUUAUCCGGAUUUACUGGGUGUAAAGGGAGCGUAGACGGCAAGGCAAGUCUGAUGUGAAAACCCAGGGCUUAACCCUGGGACUGCAUUGGAAACUGUCUGGCUCGAGUGCCGGAGAGGUAAGCGGAAUUCCUAGUGUAGCGGUGAAAUGCGUAGAUAUUAGGAAGAACACCAGUGGCGAAGGCGGCUUACUGGACGGUAACUGACGUUGAGGCUCGAAAGCGUGGGGAGCAAACAGGAUUAGAUACCCUGGUAGUCCACGCC